UUUCAGGGACAGGUUAGUGUUUUACAAUUGAAAACUUCUGUUUAAAAAUAAUAAUUCCGAAUUUGUUUCAAAAAAUGAUAUUCAUAAGUAUUAGGAUUUGGAAUUAUAUUUACCUUGUAUAUUUCAGACGUAUUGUAAUCAAAAUGGUGGAGCUUUAGUGAAUAUCGAAAAUGCUGAAGAAAACGCAUGGAUCGCAACACAAUUUACACAAAAUUCCAUAUGGAUUGAUGCAACGGACAUUGGAAACGAGGGAGUUUGGAGAUCGUUUUCCACUUGUCAACCCACGCUCAAUAACUGGUCACGAGGAAAUCCAAAUAACUGGCGUGGAUCCCAAAACUGUGCAACAAUAAACUAUGGAGGCUCGGGAAAGUGGGAUGAUGACAACUGCUUCAAAAACCGUACAUUUAUUUGUGAAUCGUUUAAUUAGGAAAUGCAUGAUGAAUGCUUAUGUAUCCAGAAAAGUGAGACAAUUUUUAAUAAAUUAU